UACGUAGGGUGCAAGCGUUGUCCGGAAUUAUUGGGCGUAAAGAGCUCGUAGGCGGUUUGUCGCGUCUGCUGUGAAAACCCGAGGCUCAACCUCGGGCCUGCAGUGGGUACGGGCAGACUAGAGUGCGGUAGGGGAGAUUGGAAUUCCUGGUGUAGCGGUGGAAUGCGCAGAUAUCAGGAGGAACACCAAUGGCGAAGGCAGAUCUCUGGGCCGUAACUGACGCUGAGGAGCGAAAGCGUGGGUAGCGAACAGG
rnacentral:rRNA from 1 species